rnacentral:misc_RNA from 1 species
UGCACCAACAAAUCGUCUAAUGCGGUCAUAAUGUAUCAACUUCCAAAGAGAAAGAAGAGAGGCCCAUAUAAACGAUAUAUCAACCAUGGAUCGGACUUUGUGCUACCGAGAAGUACUGAGAGGGGUUGCCAACAGCGUGAGGUGCCUAUGGACACAUCCUCGUCUGAUGAUGAAGCAGCAGGACAAGCUUCAGUCUCGACAGAUAUAAAUGGCAUACUUCGAACUGAUACGUUGAGUAGUGAGGAUGAACAGGAAACUUCAAGCGAUGCUUGUAGCACAGCAGCCUCCAGGGUGACAUCUGCUCCGGUCAGUCCCACUACUCCAGAACUGCAAGCAACCAAUGAUAGGCCACAGCA